rnacentral:misc_RNA from 1 species
GAAAUGCGAUAAGUAAUGUGAAUUGCAGAAUUCAGUGAAUCAUCGAAUCUUUGAACGCACAUUGCGCCCGCCAGAAUUCUGGCGGGCAUGCCUGUUCGAGCGUCAUUUCAACCCUCGAGCUCCCCUUUCGGGGGGAGCCCGGCGUUGGGGACCCGGCGCUAACAACGCCGGCCCCGAAAUGGAGUGGCGGCCCGUCCGCGGCGACCUCUGCGUAGUAACAACCACUCGCACCGGGACCCGGGCGCGGCCACGCCGUAAAACACCCCACCUUCCGAAUGUUGACCUCGAAUCAGGUAGGAAUAUCCGCUGAACUUAAGC